GACGAACGCUGGCGGCGUGCCUAAUACAUGCAAGUAGAACGCUGAAGAGAGGAGCUUGCUCUUCUUGGAUGAGUUGCGAACGGGUGAGUAACGCGUAGGUAACCUGCCUUGUAGCGGGGGAUAACUAUUGGAAACGAUAGCUAAUACCGCAUAACAAUGGAUGACACAUGUCAUUUAUUUGAAAGGGGCAAUUGCUCCACUACAAGAUGGACCUGCGUUGUAUUAGCUAGUAGGUGAGGUAACGGCUCACCUAGGCGACGAUACAUAGCCGACCUGAGAGGGUGAUCGGCCACACUGGGACUGAGACACGGCCCAGACUCCUACGGGAGGCAGCAGUAGGGAAUCUUCGGCAAUGGGGGCAACCCUGACCGAGCAACGCCGCGUGAGUGAAGAAGGGUGUCGGAUCGUAAAGCUCUGUUGUAAGUCAAGAACGAGUGUAAGAGUGGAAAGUUCACACUGUGACGGUAGCUUACCAGAAAGGGACGGCUAACUACGUG
rnacentral:rRNA from 1 species